UACGGAGGGUGCAAGCGUUAAUCGGAAUUACGUGGCGUAAAGCGUGCGCAGGCGGUUUUGUAAGCCAGAUGUGAAAUCCCGGGGCUUAACUCCGGAACUGCAUUCCAUACUGCGGUGCUUGAGGACUGGAGAGGAGACUGGAAUUUACGGUGUAGCAGUGAAAUGCGUAGAGAUCGUAAGGAAGACCAGUGGCGAAGGCGGGUCUCUGGACAGUUCCUGACACUGAGGCACGAAGGCCAGGGGGAGCAAACAGG
rnacentral:rRNA from 1 species